CCAUACAAGAGACCCAAAUUAACUGUCCAUCCGGCGUAAAGAGUGGCAAGAUGUUAUCCUACCAGCUAAGAUCAAAAUGCGACCAAGCUGUCAUAAGCCCAAGACGCACCUAAACCCACCCCAAAAUAGAUCCUAGCACCCGCGAUCAAUUUCAACCCACGAAAGCUAGGGCACAAACUGGGAUUAGAUACCCCACUAUGCCUAGCCCUAAAUCCAGAUACUUUUACCCUACCAAAGUAUUCGCCCGAGAACUACGAGCACAAACGCUUAAAACUCUAAGGACUUGGCGGUGUCCCAAACCCACCUAGAGGAGCCUGUUCUAUAACCGAUAACCCACGAUACACCCAACCACCUCUCGCCAACACAGCCUACAUACCGCCGUCGCCAGCUCACCUCCCUUGAAAGUCCUACAGUGAGCCCAAUAGUUCUCCCCCACUAACAAGACAGGUCAAGGUAUAGCCCAUGGGGUGGAAGAAAUGGGCUACAUUUUCUAGCAUAGAACACACGGCAACGGGGCAUGAAACCGCCCCCAGAAGGAGGAUUUAGCAGUAAAGUUGAACAAUAGAGUCUACUUUAAACCGGCUCUGGGACACGUACAUACCGCCCGUCACCCUCUUCACAGGCCCGCCUACCCGCAUAAAUAAUCAACCCUACAAUAAGCCAAAGACGAGGUAAGUCGUAACAA
rnacentral:rRNA from 1 species